ACACCCGGACACAUCUCGAACCCGAUCGUUAAGGCUGUCUGCGCCGAUGGUACUUGGGGGGCGACCCCCCGGGAGAGUAGGUCAUUGCCAAAA
rnacentral:rRNA from 1 species